rnacentral:rRNA from 1 species
AGCGAACGCUGGCGGCAGGCCUAACACAUGCAAGUCGAACGAACUCUUCGGAGUUAGUGGCGGACGGGUGAGUAACACGUGGGAACGUGCCUUUUGGUUCGGAAUAACUCAGGGAAACUUGUGCUAAUACCGAAUGUGCCCUUCGGGGGAAAGAUUUAUCGCCAUUAGAGCGGCCCGCGUCUGAUUCGCUAGUUGGUGAGGUAACGGCUCACCAAGGCGACGAUCAGUAGCUGGUCUGUGAGGAUGACCAGCCACACUGGGACUGAGACACGGCCCAGAAUCCUACGGGAGGCAGGAGUGGGGAAUCUUGCGCAAUGGGGGAAAGCCUGACGCAGCCAUGCCGGGGGAAUGAUGAAGGUCGUAGGAUUGUAAAAUUCUUUCACCGGGGACGAUAAUGACGGUACCCGGAGAAGAAGCCCCGGCUAACUUCGUG